rfam:Gorilla gorilla gorilla genomic chromosome, chr8, whole genome shotgun sequence
AUUCUUUUUUAGUUCAAAAGUGUGAUGAUUAGGUUUUCACAUUUGUGUGAGAUGUGCCUUCCUCAAACCUUGUUACAACGUCUGCACAUUACCCAUCGGACA